rnacentral:rRNA from 1 species
CCUACGGGAGGCAGCAGUGGGGGAUAUUGCACAAUGGGGGGAACCCUGAUGCAGCGACGCCGCGUGGGUGAAGGAGCGUUUCGGCGCGUAAAGCCCUAUCGGCAGGGAAGAAGAUGACGGUACCUGACCAAGAAGCACCGGCUAACUACGUUCCAGCACCCGGGGGAAUACGUAGGGGGCCAACGUUAUCCCGAUUUCCUGGGUGUAAAGGGGGCGCAGACGGCAAUGCAAGUCAGGAGUGAAAGCCCGGGGCACAACCCCGGGACUGCUCUUGGAACUGCAUGGCUGGAGUACAGGAGGGGCAGGCGGAAUUCCUAGUGUAGCGGUGAAAUGCGUAGAUAUUAGGAGGAACACCGGUGGCGAAGGCGGCCUGCUGGACUGUGACUGACGUUGAGGCCCGAAGGCGUGGGGAGCAAACAGGAUUAGAUACCCGAGUAGUC